AUAAGGAAAAUUUUCUAUUUACAGAUUUCAAAAUUAAUAUGAAUGAUUGAUAAUUUUAGCGAAAGUGUCAAUUCGCGUCACUUUCAACAUUAAAAUCCAUAAAUUCAUUUAAAUUGACCAAUUGAUCACGGAUAGCGUGAUGAUAAAAUAUUGGAGUGAAAAUUGUCACCGUGGAAGAUAAAUAUUAAUUAAUAAUGGACAUUGAAUGGUUAGAAAAAAAUGUAAUAAAAAAAAAGGAGGAGUUAAUAAAGAAGAUGCGAUGACAAAUUGAGGGAGGAAGUGUCGAGGUAACGAGAUAUUUUGCUCGCGGGUGAAAGCCCCUGUAUGGUACUGGUGUGGUUUAUCAGGAAGCGAAUGAAAACGUGUCUUGGAAGUUCUUCAGUCUACCGGAGACUUCUUUACUAUAUGUAUACUUUAUACUAUAUAAUACUAAAUGUAUACAUAGAUAUAUAUUGGCUCGCGAAAUGUGGCGCAAUUCGCAAAUAAAUGGAGUUAAUUCAUUGUAUCUGAGACUAAAAAUUUCAAAGUAAGUAAAUAACUAAGCAAACAAAACAAACACCAGGGAAUUAAAACCGUCAUGUGACUAUCUAAUUUUCGAAUCAUUGAGUAUCUGCAGUACACGCCCGUAAUUGCUUUCACUACAGGUCAAAAUAUCUUGAGGUCAUGAAUUAGCCUCGGGCGUUCAACAGAAGAGAGAAUUGUCGUUGUCGUCCUCAUAUCGCGUUUGCGGUGAACUUGGUCACGCCCAAAAGAGAUGAGAAGAGAAUAAAUACUUUCUUUGAAAUGCCGAUGAGAAAGAAGAAUGCUAUUAUCGUGAUAAUGAUUAUGAUCAAUAAUUGCAUCGAUAUCCUUCGGCGACUUUCAAUACCAUCAUUAAAGUUAAUUAUCCAGGAGAAGUUUUUUUUCACGAGUUUGUAAAGCAAAGAUGCACACGCGUGCACCACAUGGCAAUUGGGUCGACAAAAAUUGGAGAUUACAAAGCUUGCGUAAAUACAAUGUUAAAUGAGAAUAUAAGGAGAUUAAAAGAGAAGCUUACCAGACGCAUGAUGGAUAAGUCACUAAAUUCCGGCUUUUACAAAAUAACAGUAGUUGUCGUUGUUACUUCUCGAAGAUGAUCACAACUGUGUUGAGU